GAUGAACGCUAGCGGCAGGCUUAACACAUGCAAGUCGAGGGGCAGCGCGGGUAGCAAUACCUGGCGGCGACCGGCAAACGGGUGCGGAACACGUACAGAAUCUACCUUUAUCUGGGGCAUAGCCCGGAGAAAUCCGGAUUAACUCCCCAUAACAUAUAAGAGUGGCAUCACUCAGAUAUUAAAAAUUCAUUGGAUAGAGAUGACUGUGCGUCCCAUUAGCUAGUUGGUAGGGUAACGGCCUACCAAGGCAACGAUGGGUAGCUGGUGUGA
rnacentral:rRNA from 1 species